rnacentral:rRNA from 1 species
UUUGAUCCUGGCUCAGAUUGAACGCUGGCGGCAGGCUUAACACAUGCAAGUCGAGCGGUAACAGAUCCAGCUUGCUGGAUGCUGACGAGCGGCGGACGGGUGAGUAACGCGUAGGAAUCUACCCAGUAGCGGGGGAUAGCCCGGGGAAACCCGGAUUAAUACCGCAUACGCCCCACGGGGGAAAGCAGGGGAUCUUCGGACCUUGCACUAUUGGAUGAGCCUGCGUCGGAUUAGCUAGUUGGUGGGGUAAAGGCCUACCAAGGCGACGAUCCGUAGCUGGUCUGAGAGGAUGAUCAGCCACACCGGGACUGAGACACGGCCCGGACUCCUACGGGAGGCAGCAGUGGGGAAUAUUGGACAAUGGGGGCAACCCUGAUCCAGCCAUGCCGCGUGUGUGAAGAAGGCUUUCGGGUUGUAAAGCACUUUCAGUGAGGAGGAAAUGAUGGCGGCUAAUACCCGUUACAAUUGACGUUACUCACAGAAGAAGCACCGGCUAACUCCGUGCCAGCAGCCGCGGUAAUACGGAGGGUGCAAGCGUUAAUCGGAAUUACUGGGCGUAAAGCGCGCGUAGGCGGCUAAAUCAGUCGGGUGUGAAAGCCCCGGGCUCAACCUGGG